rnacentral:rRNA from 1 species
CCUACGGGAGGCAGCAGUGAGGAAUAUUGGUCAAUGGACGAGAGUCUGAACCAGCCAAGUAGCGUGAAGGAUGACUGCCCUCUGGGUUGUAAACUUCUUUUAUAUGGGAAUAAAAUGUUCCACGUGUGGGCUUUUGUAUGUACCAUAUGAAUAAGGAUCGGCUAACUCCGUGCCAGCAGCCGCGGUAAUACGGAGGAUCCGAGCGUUAUCCGGAUUUAUUGGGUUUAAAGGGAGAGUAGGUGGAUUGUUAAGUCAGUUGUGAAAGUUUGCGGCUCAACCGUAAAAUUGCAGUUGAAACUGGCAGUCUGGAGUACAGUAGAGGUGGGCGGAAUUCGUGGUGUAGCGGUGAAAUGCUUAGAUAUCACGAAGAACUCCGAUUGCGAAGGCAGUUCACUGGACUGCAACUGACACUGAGGCUCGAAAGUGUGGGUAUCAAACAGGAUUAGAUACCCCUGUAGUC